GGACAACGGAAUUCCUGGUGUAGAGGUGAAAUUCGUAGAUAUCAGGAGGAACAACAGUAGCGAAGGCGGUUGUCUGGACUAUUACUGACGCUGAGGCGCGAAAGUGUGGGGAGCAAACAGGAUUAGAUACCCUGGUAGUCCACACCGUAAACGAUGGAUACUAGAUGUCGGGGGUUCUUGUCCCCUCGGUAUCGUAGCUAACGUGUUAAGUAUCCCGCCUGGGAAGUACGGCCGCAAGGUUAAAACUCAAAGAAAUUGACGGGGGCCCGCACAAGCGGUGGAGUAUGUGGUUUAAUUCGAAGCAACGCGCAAAACCUUACCUAGGCUUGACAUCCGACGCUACCCUAUGAAAGUAGGGGUUCCCUUCGGGGACGUCGAGACAGGUGUUGCAUGGCUGUCGUCAGCUCGUGUCGUGAGAUGUUGGGUUAAGUCCCGCAACGAGCGCAACCCUCGUUAUUAGUUGCCACCAUUAAGUUGGGCACUCUAGUAAGACCGCUUGCCGAUAAGGCAGAGGAAGGUGGGGAUGACGUCAAGUCCGCAUGGCCCUUACGCCUAGGGCUACACACGUACUACAAUGGAUGGCACAAUACGACGCUAAGCCGUGAGGCAGAGCUAAUCGGAAAAAACCAUCCUCAAUUCAGAUUGGAGUCUGCAACUCGACUCUAUGAAGCUGGAAUCGCUAGUAAUCGUGGAUCAGCAUGCCACGGUGAAUACGUUCCCGGGCCUUGUACACACCGCCCGU
rnacentral:rRNA from 1 species